AUUUUUAAUCUGCUUGACAUCUGCACCCUCUUUUGGAAUCAAUGUUAUGUAAGCUUCCUUCCAUGAUUCUGGAAUUUUUGCUUCCAAUAAUACCUCAUUGCAGACCUCUCAUAGCAUAUUCUCUAGUGUGGCACCUAUCUCUUUAUAUAAUUC